rnacentral:rRNA from 1 species
CGUAGCAGUCGAGCGACAGACGAGGAGCUUGCUCCUUUGACGUUAGCGGCGGACGGGUGAGUAACACGUGGGUAACCUACCUAUAAGACUGGGAUAACUUCGGGAAACCGGAGCUAAUACCGGAUAAUAUUUCGAACCGCAUGGUUCGAUAGUGAAAGAUGGCUCUGCUAUCACUUAUAGAUGGACCUGCGCCGUAUUAGCUAGUUGGUAAGGUAACGGCUUACCAAGGCAACGAUACGUAGCCGACCUGAGAGGGUGAUCGGCCACACUGGAACUGAGACACGGUCCAGACUCCUACGGGAGGCAGCAGUAGGGAAUCUUCCGCAAUGGGCGAAAGCCUGACGGAGCAACGCCGCGUGAGUGAUGAAGGUCUUCGGAUCGUAAAACUCUGUUAUUAGGGAAGAACAAACGUGUAAGUAACUGUGCACGUCUUGACGGUACCUAAUCAGAAAGCCACGGCUAACUACGUGCCAGCAGCCGCGGUAAUACGUAGGUGGCAAGCGUUAUCCGGAAUUAUUGGGCGUAAAGCGCGCGUAGGCGGUUUUUUAAGUCUGAUGUGAAAGCCCACGGCUCAACCGUGGAGGGUCAUUGGAAACUGGAAAACUUGAGUGCAGAAGAGGAAAGUGGAAUUCCAUGUGUAGCGGUGAAAUGCGCAGAGAUAUGGAGGAACACCAGUGGCGAAGGCGACUUUCUGGUCUGUAACUGACGCUGAUGUGCGAAAGCGUGGGGAUCAAACAGGAUUAGAUACCCUGGUAGUCCACGCCGUAAACGAUGAGUGCUAAGUGUUAGGGGGUUUCCGCCCCUUAGUGCUGCAGCUAACGCAUUAAGCACUCCGCCUGGGGAGUACGACCGCAAGGUUGAAACUCAAAGGAAUUGACGGGG